UGUAUUGCCUCCUUGGCUUCUUUGUUUUCCAGACUCUCCUCCUCUGGUGCAACUAACUUGGAGCAGCGGUACUUACCUGGUUCCUAAAGUCAGGUUGAUUCUGCUUUUGUCACAGAUUUGUUUGCUCCAUCAUGUUACAGACCUCUUGGUGGUUUUCUCUACCAGAGCUGGGGCCACCAGGUCACUGGGCCUAAAGAAUGCAGAUUGUCUGGACCCCCACGACCUCACCAGACAAUGAUGCAAGCACGCCAGCUGUUCAUCCAAGUUCCAAUGAAAUGACUACAGAGAUUACUUAAGAAGCCAUGCCCUACAUCUGUAAUUCCAAGAUUCAGGAUGUAGAAACAAGAAGAUCCAUGCAAGUUAGAGGUCAGCCUGGUCAACACAGUGAGUUUUAGGUCAGCUAAGACUCUGUCUCAAAUAAGCCAACAAACAAAACCCCAAAAUUAUAUACUAGGGAAAUGGCUUAGUAGUUGAGAGUGUGUGUUGCUAUUCCAGGGAAUCUGAAUGUGGUUCCCAGCACCCAAUUCUGACAGAUUACAACCACGUGUAAUUCCAGGUCCAGGAGAUCUGAUGCGCUCUCAGGCCUCCAUGGAUUUGUAUCACACAUAAGCAUACUCAUGCACAUGAACACUUACAUGCACACACUCAUAAGUAAAGAUUAAAAGUAAUCUUUAAAAAGUUAUUAGUGACCUGGCUCUUUGAAGAAACGGCCAAUCAACCCUCACAGAGGUUUUAGAUAAUGAAACAGAUGAACAAUGGCAGGUUUUGAGGAAGGCAAAGGCGCUGUUCAGAACAGCUGAGUUCUGAGUUACAUUUUUAUAGCCCUUACCUUCCUUUCUCAUCAGUCACUAAUAGUGAAGACCUUCAGAUAAGGAAGGGAGUAUCCACCCAUGUUCGUAUAACUCUUCACCCCUAGCAGACAAAGGAAUGCAAAGUCUGACCCAAGAGGGGUGACAGCUGCAUUGUAAGGCAGGUGUCUCAAGUGACAUGGCACUCAGCAUCAUUUCUAUAAAGCACAGAUUGUCAAACUGUUUCCCACAGGACCAAUCUAGACCAUUGCCUGCUUUUGUAUAGAAUGUGAGCGAGUAAAGUUUUGCUCUUUUAAAAAUGAAAAACGAC
rnacentral:lncRNA from 1 species